AAAAAGUAACAGCUAAUGUGGGAAGGCCAACACACCCUACACAACUAAUAAACAAAAACUAAGAGAAUGAGGAAACCGAGGCUCAGAGAUGCAAAACAACGUGCCUAAAACCAAACAACUGGUCCAACAGAGAUUACCCACUACUCAGAGCUUGCUCCUCAACUCCUGAGCGGGGGACAUUUUGGCAGCAUGCCAAAAGAUCUUUGUCUCUCUUGACCUUCUCACCUGGGAAGCCAUCACUGACCAGAGAAUCCAAGUUGUUACAGUGAUCGGGAACCACCAAGGUGGUUUGACCACCUGUCAAAACUCCUGAAAUUGGCCAUGAGAUUAUUGAAGCUGAGUGGUG